rnacentral:lncRNA from 1 species
CCUUGCCAUUUGGCUGUAACCAGAGGACUGCCCCUUCCUUCUUUACAAUAUCAUCAUUGCAGUUAAGGAACAAUGUUUAGUAGUUCAGAGAUGGUACUACAAGUUCAUAUUUGCGUGUGAAGGAAAAAUAUGGAUUGCGGAUCUCUUAUACAAUAAGUCGAAAUGACUACAACGAACUUGGCACGUAACAAAGAGGUGCAACACGGAACACAUAGUAAAAUGUGA